rnacentral:rRNA from 1 species
UACGUAGGGCGCGAGCGUUGUCCGGAAUUAUUGGGCGUAAAGCGCGUGUAGGCGGCCAGGUAGGUCUGCUGUGAAAACUCGAGGCUCAACUUCGAGAUGUCGGCGGAAACCAUUUGGCUAGAGUCCGGAAGAGGAGAGUGGAAUUCCCUGGUGUAGCGGUGAAAUGCGCAGAUAUCAGGAAGAACACCUAUGGCGAAGGCAGCACUCUGGGACGGUACUGACGCUGAGACGCGAAAGCGUGGGGAGCGAACAGG